UAUGGACGUUCUGGGAUCAAUCAGCUUUUUAAAGUGAAUGUUUUGGGUAUUAUUUGCAGAGGGUGAAUUUUAAAAGCUUUUCUGAAUUAAAGCUAAUUAGCUGCAAUUUGUCUCUGUGUUUAUUUGCAGGGUCUUGGACAAGGGGAUUGGAGCAAAACCCUUGCUGCUUUUAGGCAAAGAGGCAUCUCUUCUGGGAAUGUGAUGUCUGGAAGGAGCCUGGAGCGAAUGAGGAGCAGUGUUUUUCAACUGUUCACCCCCGCUGUUGGAAACAAUAGCAGGUUUGGCUGGGAUACUCUGAGAAACAGGUAAUGAAGUGUUUUUACAUUAUGUGUGGAUGGAACUCAACCGACUUUAGGCC